GGGCCCGCACAAGCGGUGGAGCAUGUGGUUUAAUUCGAUGCAACGCGAAGAACCUUACCUACUCUUGACAUCCACAGAAGCCGGAAGAGAUUCUGGUGUGUCUUCGGGAACUGUGAGACAGGUGCUGCAUGGCUGUCGUCAGCUCGUGUUGUGAAAUGUUGGGUUAAGUCCCGCAACGAGCGCAACCCUUAUCCUUGUUUGCCAGCGAGUAAUGUCGGGAACUCCAGGGAGACUGCCGGUGAUAAACCGGAGGAAGGUGGGGACGACGUCAAGUCAUCAUGGCCCUUACGAGUAGGGCUACACACGUGCUACAAUGGCAUAUACAGAGGGCAGCGAGGCAGCGAUGUGAAGCGAAUCCCAGAAAGUAUGUCGUAGUCCGGAUUGGAGUCUGCAACUCGACUCCAUGAAGUCGGAAUCGCUAGUAA
rnacentral:rRNA from 1 species